ACUCACGCGGGAAUCUUACCGGGUCCGGACACACUGAGGAUUGACAGGUUCCGAGAGUUUUUGCUUCGGCAAUGCUCUCUUAAAUAUGAUAGUCCUUUCAUGAUUAUGUGAUAGGUGGUGCAUGGCCGUUCUUAGUUCGUGGAGUGAUCUGUCUGCUUAAUUGCGUUUCACUAAAGGCGUCAUAUCUGUUUUGUUGCGUGUUUGACCCCUCUUCGGAGCGCGUGUCUUCACGCACAAUUACUUUGGCGUCUGAAAGCAACGAACGUGACCGUAACCUCUUGUUGCCUUCUCUUCUCCUCGGAGAAUGCUGUUUGUUUUUGCAGGCAGUAUAUGGAGGCUUUUUUACUCAACAACUAGAGGGACCGCUGUUUCUUUCUUUAAACCAGAGGAAGGAUACGGCAAUAACAGGUCUGUGAUGCCCUUAGAUGUUCCGGGCUGCACACGUGAUACAUUGAUUACUUCAGUGAGUAUCUACGUUUUACUGCGUGGCAUUGCAAUCCAUAUUUCUUCGGAAGUGUGUUUUUGUUUUCCGCCUCAACCUGCUUCGAAAGCAUGCGGGUAACCAAUUAGAAGUAGUGAUUU
rnacentral:rRNA from 1 species